rnacentral:rRNA from 1 species
UUGCCCUAGUAACGGCGAGUGAAGCGGCAACAGCUCAAAUUUGAAAUCUGGCUCUCGGGCCCGAGUUGUAAUUUGUAGAGGAUACUUUUGAUGCGGUGCCUUCCGAGUUCCCUGGAACGGGACGCCAUAGAGGGUGAGAGCCCCGUCUGGUUGGAUGCCAAAUCUCUGUAAAGUUCCUUCGACGAGUCGAGUAGUUUGGGAAUGCUGCUCUAAAUGGGAGGUAUAUGUCUUCUAAAGCUAAAUACCGGCCAGAGACCGAUAGCGCACAAGUAGAGUGAUCGAAAGAUGAAAAGCACUUUGAAAAGAGAGUUAAAAAGUACGUGAAAUUGUUGAAAGGGAAGCGUUUAUGACCAGACUUGGGCUUGGUUAAUCAUCUGGGGUUCUCCCCAGUGCACUUUUCCAGUCCAGGCCAGCAUCAGUUUUCCCCGGGGGAUAAAGACUUCGGGAAUGUGGCUCUCUUCGGGGAGUGUUAUAGCCCGUUGUGUAAUACCCUGGGGGGGACUGAGGUUCGCGCAUCUGCAAGGAUGCUGGCGUAAUGGUCAUCAACGACCCGUCUUGAAACACGGACCAAGGAGUCGUCUUCGUAUGCGAGUGUUCGGGUGUCAAACCCCUACGCGUAAUGAAAGUGAACGCAGGUGAGAGCUUCGGCGCAUCAUCGACCGAUCCUGAUGUUCUCGGAUGGAUUUGAGUAAGAGCAUACGGGGCCGGACCCGAAAGAAGGUGAACUAUGCCUGUAUAGGGUGAAGCCAGAGGAAACUCUGGUGGAGGCUCGCAGCGGUUCUGACGUGCAAAUCGAUCGUCAAAUAUGGGCAUGGGGGCGAAAGACUAAUCGAACCUUCUAGUAGCUGGUUUCCGCCGAAGUUUCCCUCAGGAUAGCAGUGUUGAACUCAGUUUUAUGAGGUAAAGCGAAUGAUUAGGGACUCGGGGGCGCUAUUUAGCCUUCAUCCAUUCUCAAACUUUAAAUAUGUAAGAAGCUCUUGUUGCUUAA